rnacentral:rRNA from 1 species
UACAGAGGUCCCGAGCGUUGUUCGGAUUCACUGGGCGUAAAGGGUGCGUAGGUGGUGAGGUAAGUCGGAUGUGAAAUCUCCGGGCUCAACCCGGAAAUGGCAUUGGAAACUACCUUGCUGGAGGAUUUGAGGGGGGAUUGGAAUACUUGGUGUAGCAGUGAAAUGCGUAGAUAUCAAGUGGAACACCAGUGGCGAAGGCGACUACCUGGCCUGUUCUUGACGCUGAGGCGCGAAAGCUAGGGGAGCAAACGGG